rnacentral:rRNA from 1 species
UGGGGAAUUUUGGACAAUGGGCGCAAGCCUGAUCCAGCAAUGCCGCGUGCAGGAUGAAGGCCUUCGGGUUGUAAACUGCUUUUGUACGGAACGAAAAGCCUCUCUCUAAUACAGGGGGGUGAUGACGGUACCGUAAGAAUAAGCACCGGCUAACUACGUGCCAGCAGCCGCGGUAAUACGUAGGGUGCAAGCGUUAAUCGGAAUUACUGGGCGUAAAGCGUGCGCAGGCGGUUUUGUAAGACAGUGGUGAAAUCCCCGGGCUCAACCUGGGAACUGCCAUUGUGACUGCAAGGCUGGAGUGCGGCAGAGGGGGGAUGGAAUUCCGCGUGUAGCAGUGAAAUGCGUAGAUAUGCGGAGGAACACCGAUGGCGAAGGCAAUCCCCUGGGCCUGCACUGACGCUCAUGCACGAAAGCGUGGGGAGCAAACAGGAUUAGAUACCCUGGUAGUCCACGCCCUAAACGAUGUCAACNGGUUGUUGGGGAUUUAUUUCUUCAGUAACGAAGCUAA